UAGGCGGAUGCCGAAAAGCCUUAAAUGAGUAGGUU
rnacentral:ncRNA from 1 species